rnacentral:rRNA from 1 species
ACAACUCUAAGUGGUGGAUCACUCGGCUCGUGGGU